UCCAGACUCCUACGGGAGGCAGCAGUGAGGAAUAUUGGUCAAUGGGCGGGAGCCUGAGCCAGCCAAGUCGCGUGAGGGAAGACGGUCCUACGGAUUGUAAACCUCUUUUGCCGGGGAGCAACGGGGUCCUUGCGAGGGCCCGAUGAGAGUACCCGAAGAAAAAGCAUCGGCUAACUCCGUGCCAGCAGCCGCGGUAAUACGGAGGAUGCGAGCGUUAUCCGGAUUUAUUGGGUUUAAAGGGUGCGCAGGCGGAAGAUCAAGUCAGCGGUAAAAUUGAGAGGCUCAACCUCUUCGAGCCGUUGAAACUGGUUUUCUUGAGUGAGUGAGAAGUAUGCGGAAUGCGUGGUGUAGCGGUGAAAUGCAUAGAUAUCACGCAGAACUCCGAUUGCGAAGGCAGCAUACCGGCGCUCAACUGACGCUCAUGCACGAAAGUGUGGGUAUCGAACAGGAUUAGAUACCCCCGUA
rnacentral:rRNA from 1 species